GGCCGCGACCAUACCACGCUGGAAACACCGGUUCUCGUCUGAUCACCAACGCCGGGCCCGGUCAGUACCUGCAUAGGUGACCGGCUGGGAAUACCGUAUGUUGCAGCCG
rnacentral:rRNA from 1 species